rnacentral:rRNA from 1 species
UACGGAGGGCUCAAGCGUUGUUCGGAUUUAUUGGGCGUAAAGGGUGCGUAGGCGGUUCGGUAAGUCGGGUGUGAAAUUUCGAGGCUUAACUUCGAAACUGCAUUCGAUACUGCCGUGCUUGAGGACUGGAGAGGAGACUGGAAUUUACGGUGUAGCGGUGAAAUGCGUAGAUAUCGUAAGGAAGACCAGUGGCGAAGGCGGGGCUCUGGACAGUUCCUGACGCUGAGGCACGAAGGCCAGGGGAGCAAACGGG